rnacentral:rRNA from 1 species
AGUGAACGCUGGCGGCAGGCCUAAUACAUGCAAGUCGAACCGCAGCACAGUGGAGCUUGCUCCAUGGGUGGCGAGUGGCGGACGGGUGAGGAAUACAUGGGAAUCUGCCCAGUCGUGGGGGAUAACGUAGGGAAACUUACGCUAAUACCGCAUGCGCCCUUCGGGGGAAAGCCGGGGACCUUCGGGCCUGGCGCGAUUGGAUGAGCCCAUGUUCGAUUAGCUAGUUGGCGGGGUAAAGGCCCACCAAGGCGACGAUCGAUAGCUGGUCUGAGAGGAUGAACAGCCAAACGGGAGUGGAGACACGCCCAAGACCCCUAGGGGGGGCAGCAGUAGGGAAUAUGGAGAAAUGGGCGAAAGCCUGACCCAGCCAUGCGGCGUGAGUGAAGAAGGCCUUCGGUUUGUAAAGCUCUUUUAUCGGGGAAGAAAAAAAUGGGCAUAAACCCUGGGUGUUUUGACGGUACCGAAAAAAAAAGCCCCGGCUAACUUCGUG